AACAAAAAUUAGUGGAGUUUGUCAAAACUGGAACAAUUCCUCUGACUAAUAUUCCGAAAGCACCUGUGGGUAGAACAUCACAAGGACAUAAGAUGUCAGCCAAAUUGCAGGUAGAUAUACCAGACAUAACAACUCUCUAUAAAAUGUUAAUAAACAUGUGCAAUUUUAUUUUAACCUGUAAUAUCAUCCCUUAAAAGUCUCAAAAGUUACAGAUAUACAUACAACUCGUC